GUCGGACUUUAUUUACAGAAACAAGAGGAGGUGGGAGUGUGCACAACCCCCCUCCAUGCACUGGGAGGCAAUGCGGAAGACCCAGGUGCCCUCACAGAGGUGUGAGCCAGGACGUGAGGACAGACCGUGGUGCACUGUGGGCACAUUUGUGAGUUUCCUAAGCAUGAAAUGGAGUACCCUCGGGUCCCAUUUCCAGCCCACGGCAUUGAUUAUGGCAGAGACUGCUUUCCUGAAGCAUGUGCCGUGUUGGGGGGAAAAGCAGGCUGUAGGGAUGCCAAAAACUGGAGCUGUAUCUGCUAGCGAGCCUUUUCUCUUGCAUAUUUAUCCACGGAAAGCUAUCGUGAAGGAGCCCUGAGCUUAUCACAUUUUCUCCCUCAUUCUUUUGUACCCAGGGAUGCUUUUCCCUCCAAUGCUCUUUCCCUCCAUUUGUACAUAAAGAUCUUUUCCUUUUCUUAGAAAAUCCAGCUCAGAAUUCUGUCUAGAUUACAGUGAGUUAAUUCCUAGUGGACAUCAGUCCUCACAGAAAUAGUAACUUUAGGCUGUGGACACAAUACAAAAGCUAUUCGACACUGAAGAUCCUGGGGGUGGUCAAAGCAGCCAGUUUGGGAGAGGAGCCAAAGUGUAGCAAGGACAGGCACAGGGUGAGAUCCUUGUGUUCGCAGCUUUGGUCUGAGGAUAGGCUGGAAUCUUAGAGUG
rnacentral:lncRNA from 1 species